CCCUUAGAUGUUCUGGGCAGCGCGCGCGCUACAAUGGUCUUCGCAAACGGAUGCAUUCUCGAAGGAGAAUGCCAAUCUUGGAAUCUAUGCCUUGGUCGGGACAGUUGCUUGCAAUUUUUCGACUCGAACCAGGAAUUCCUUGUAAUCGUGAUUCAUCACAUCACGAUGAAUACGUCCCUGCCCUUUGUACACACCGCCCGUCGCUGCCCGGAACUGAGCCGUUUCGAGAAGACUGAGGAUUGCUGACUUGAGGCCUUCACGGGCUUCUAGUCGGUGAAAAUCAAUUUAAUCGCAGCGGCUUGAACCGGGCAAAAGUCGUAACA
rnacentral:rRNA from 1 species